GCGAGAGUGGCGGAAUUGGUAGACGCACUGGACUUAGGAUCCAGCGGCUUGUCCGUGGGAGUUCGAGUCUCCCCUCUCGCACCA
rnacentral:tRNA from 1 species